UUUAAAUGGCCGCAGUAUACUGACUGUGCAAAGGUAGCAUAAUCAUUAGUCUUUUAAUUGGAGGCUGGUAUGAAUGGUUGGACGAGAUAUUAACUGUUUCAUUUGAAUUUAUUAUAGAAUUUUAUUUUUUAGUCAAAAAGCUAAAAUUUAUUUAAAAGACGAGAAGACCCUAUAAAUCUUUAUAUUUUUUUGUAUUAUUAUUAUUUUGUAUUAUUAUUUAAUAAUAUAAAUUUAGUAUUUUAUUGGGGUGAUAUUAAAAUUUAAUUAACUUUUAAUUUUAGCAUUCAUUAAUUAAUGAUUAAUUGAUCCGUUAUUAACGAUUAAAAAAUUAAGUUACUUUAGGGAUAACAGCGUAAUUUUUUUGGAGAGUUCAUAUCGAUAAAAAAGAUUGCGACCUCGAUGUUGGAUUAAGAUAUAAUUUUAGGUGUAGUAG
rnacentral:rRNA from 1 species